GAUGAAGAACGCAGCGAAAUGCGAUAAGUAAUGUGAAUUGCAGAAUUCAGUGAAUCAUCGAAUCUUUGAACGCACAUUGCGCCCGCCAGUAUUCUGGCGGGCAUGCCUGUUCGAGCGUCAUUACAACCCUCAGGCCCCCGGGCCUGGCGUUGGGGAUCGGCGGAGCCCCCCGUGGGCACACGCCGUCCCCCAAAUACAGUGGCGGUCCCGCCGCAGCUUCCAUCGCGUAGUAGCUAACACCUCGCGACUGGAGAGCGGCGCGGCCACGCCGUAAAACACCCAACUCUUCUGAAGUUGACCUCGAAUCAGGUAGGAAUACCCGCUGAACUUAAGCAUAUCAAUAAGCGGAGG
rnacentral:misc_RNA from 1 species